rnacentral:rRNA from 1 species
UAACGAAUCUUCCACAAUGCACGAAAGUGUGAUGGAGCGACGCCGCGUGUAGGAUGAAGUCCUUCGGGAUGUAAACUACUGUCAGGGGAAAGAAAGUUCUGAUCUACCCCAGAGGAAGGCACGGCUAACUCUGUGCCAGCAGCCGCGGUAAGACAGAGGUGCCAAGCGUUAGGCGGAAUCACUGGGCUUAAAGCGUGUGUAGGCGGAUCGUUAAGUGCUUUGUGAAAUCCCUCGGCUCAACCGAGGAAUUGCUUGGCAUACUGGCGAUCUUGAGCCACCUAGGGGCAACUGGAACAAACGGUGGAGCGGUGAAAUGCGUAGAUAUCGUUUGGAACGCCAAAGGUGAAAACAGGUUGCUGGGGGUGUGCUGACGCUGAGACACGAAAGCCAGGGGAGCAAACGGG